rnacentral:rRNA from 1 species
GACGAACGCUGGCGGCGUGCUUAACACAUGCAAGUCGAACGACGAAGCUGGAGCUUGCUCCGGUGGAUUAGUGGCGAACGGGUGAGUAACACGCGAGAAAUCUGCCCUUGACUCUGGGAUAACUGCGGGAAACUGUAGCUAAUACCGGAUACUUUCCUCGGUGGGCAUCCACUGGGGAAGAAAGAAUUUCGGUCAAGGAUGAUCUCGCGGCCUAUCAGCUAGUUGGUGAGGUAAUGGCUCACCAAGGCGACGACGGGUAGCCGGCCUGAGAGGGUGACCGGCCACACUGGGACUGACACACGGCCCAGACUCCUACGGGAGGCAGCAGUGGGGAAUAUUGCACAAUGGGCGCAAGCCUGAUGCAGCAACGCCGCGUGUGGGAUGAAGGCCUUCGGGUUGUAAACCUCUUUUAGCAGGGAAGAAGCGAAAGUGGCGGUACCUGCAGAAAAAGCACCGGCUAACUACGUGCCAGCCGCCGCCGUAA